UAUGAAAUGUAUUUUGGUAUAAGUUUUUCAUAACAAAAUUUUCAUAAACCUUUGGAAAUGUAUAUAAUACCUUUCACAUUUUUAGAAUAAAUUUUCUAGAACAAGCUUUCAAAGUAGAUGGAAUAUAUUUUAGAAAGAACUUUCUAUAACAAUUUUUUUUUUCAGCAACACAUUAUCUCUCUUGUUAUUAAUCUAUAAAGUUGUCUCUCUCUUCUAGUAGGAGGAUUUGUUUUGGGUCCAAGUAGGGUGGGUUCAUUUUUGUCAGGGAGUUACUCCCUGUACCUCCCCAAUUCCAACCCCCACCCCCCAAUUUUUUUGGAUUUUUUUUUAAAUACAAAAUUAAUCUUUAUGUUUUUUUUAUUUUUACCGUUUUACACCUAUUUACUAAAGUUAACCUACUCUUUUACAGUCUGCCUCAGUCAAAACACACAGACUCAAAUUCCUCUCCUUCGUAUUCCCACCCCCACCCCCACCAAAGCUUUUGAAACGCUCCUCCUCCAAACGCUCUCUGCAACUCUCACUCUCCCA
rnacentral:lncRNA from 1 species